AGCCUUCACACAAGUGCUACGCCACCCUGGUAGAGGAACGGGGCGUUGAUCCUUCACAAACCGUCGGCGAAUGCUUCAUGUGGUUUGCUGCCUGGUACCUUCCGAGUGAACCGGCUCUGAUGUGAGUCAUCGUGAAAAGGACGGCUGUAGAGACGACACCCGCUUCGAGCGCAGCGCGUCAAA
rnacentral:lncRNA from 1 species